GAUGAACGCUGGCGGCGUGCCUAAUACAUGCAAGUCGAGCGAACAGAUGAGGAGCUUGCUCCUCUGACGUUAGCGGCGGACGGGUGAGUAACACGUGGAUAACCUACCUAUAAGACUGGGAUAACUUCGGGAAACCGGAGCUAAUACCGGAUAAUAUAUUGAACCGCAUGGUUCAAUAGUGAAGGACGGUUUUGCUGUCACUUAUAGAUGGAUCCGCGCCGCAUUAGCUAGUUGGUAAGGUAACGGCUUACCAAGGCAACGAUGCGUAGCCGACCUGAGAGGGUGAUCGGCCACACUGGAACUGAGACACGGUCCAGACUCCUACGGGAGGCAGCAGUAGGGAAUCUUCCGCAAUGGGCGAAAGCCUGACGGAGCAACGCCGCGUGAGUGAUGAAGGUCUUCGGAUCGUAAAGCUCUGUUAUUAGGGAAGAACAAAUGUGUAAGUAACUAUGCACGUCUUGACGGUACCUAAUCAGAAAGCCACGGCUAACUACGUG
rnacentral:rRNA from 1 species